AAAAGCUCAGUUUAGGGUUUAAAACCCUAAUACUGGCUAAAAGGAAAAAGUUCAGUUUAGGGUUUAAAACCCUAAUGCUGACUAAAAGGAAAAUUCAGUUUAGGGUUUAAAACCCUAAUGCUGAUUGCAUGAAAAAGCUCAGUUUAGAGUUUAAAACUCUAAUGCUGGCUGAAAGGGAAAAGUUCAGUUUAGGGUUUAAAAACCUAAUGCUGACUAAAAGGAAAAUUCAGUUUAGGGUUUAAAACCCUAAUGCUGAUUGCAUGGAAAAGCUCAGUUUAGAGUUUAAAACUCUAAUGCUGGCUGGAAGGAAAAUUCAGUUUAGGGUUUAAAACCCUAAUGCUGAUUGCAUGGAAAAGCUCAGUUUAGAGUGUAAAACUCUAAUGCUGGCUGGAAGGAAAAUUCAGUUUAGGAUUUAAAACCCUAAUACUGAUUGCAUGAAAAAGCUCAGUUUAGAGUUUAAAACUCUAAUGCUGGCUGGAAGGAAAAUUCAGUUUAGGGUUUAAAACUCUAACGCUGAUUGCGUGAAAAGCUCAGUUUAGGGUUUAAAACCCUAAUGUUGGCUAAAAGGAAAAAGUUCAGUUUAGGGUUUAAAACCCUAAUGCUGACUAAAAGGAAAAUUCAGUUUAGGGUUUAAAACCCUAAUGCUGAUUGCAUGAAAAAGCUCAGUUUAGAGUUUAAAACUCUAAUGCCGGCUGAAAGGGAAAAGUUCAGUUUAGGGUUUAAAACCCUAAUGCUGACUAAAAGGAAAAUUCAGUUUAGGGUUUAAAAUCCUAAUGCUGAUUGCAUGGAAAAAGCUCAGUUUAGAGUUUUAAAACUCUAAUGCUGGCUGAAAGGGAAAAGUUCAGUUUAGGGUUUAAAACCCUAAUGCUGACUAAAAGGAAAAUUCGUUUAGGGUUUAAAACCCUAAUGCUAACUAAAAGGAAAAUUCAGUUUAGGGUUUUAAAACCCUAAUGCUAACUAAAAGGAAAAUUCAGUUUAGGGUUUUAAAACCCUAAUGCUGAUUGAAAGGAAAAUUCAGUUUAGGAUUUUAAAACCCUAAUGCUGAUUGGCUGGGGAUAAAGCUCGAGAAUACUACACGAUCUAUUUUUGAGUUUUCUUGUUUUAAUAGAAGAUAAAAGGGAGUUUUGCGGGAACUUACCUUUUGAGUGAAUUCCUUAUUGCCAAAAUGUUUCUUGUACCCGUGUACCUUCUUCUUUGGGCGACACCUGCUUCUUGCACGGUUGUCUUGGAUUAGACCUGU
rnacentral:lncRNA from 1 species